CUCGUGUUUGAUUAUAGAAAGUGCUGAAAUGAAACUGUGGAGAUCGCACGAGAGGUGAAAUCCCAAACCGCAACUGAUCUCUGCAAAUUUACAAGCUGGGAAACUUUAGUUAGGCUGGUUUCUUAGGUUUGCAAAAUACUUUGAAAGAGCCGGCCUUGUUGUUUCACAGUGCGUUUUCUCAGGCGCUUAUGCUGUAAAAAAUUGUUGUGUGUGUGUGAUGGUCUUCAGUGAUGCACGCGCUCACUGUCAGUGUCAACACUGUUGUCGGAGCAGCGUUCAGUGUUCAGCACUAACGAUUAACAGAAAAAUGCGAUGGUUCAGCAUCAGGCUCUCAGGAAAACUGAGUUUCUGGUCCACAAGACUUGCAAACAUCCUCCUGGUGCCUGUGGAAACAUUUGAUCAGCUGUCUGACAGAGUUGCAGACCUGGUAAACAACACUAUGUUGGCAUAACAUAAACUGUGAUUUUUGUUAGAGGUCUGUUAUCUGUGUUUCAUUGCAGGCAGAUUUCAUCAAAGUGGCUCAUCCGGAUGCUACGUUUCAGAAAGGACCUACGUUGAAAUCGAAACUGUUGUGGAAAAAGCCUGAAGAAUAUACUGGAAAUUUGAGCUCUUUUGGUCACACUGGAUUCAGACACAAGGCAGGUGAACUUUGAAAAAUCCUUUAGACAUGAUUUAAAAGUUAAACAAGGUAAGAUGUAUUUCUGAAACGACUGUGGACUCAAAACUGUGUUUGUAUGAGUUUAAAAAAAGGGAAUCGGUAGGAAUUGUCAGUGAUUUUGAAAGAAGUCUCACAAAGGCUGCAUUUAUUUGAUCACAAAUAUAGUAAUAAUGUAAAAUAUUAUUACAAUUUAAAAUAAAUGUUUUCUGUUUUUAAAUAUUUUAUCUUAAAAUAUGUAAAAAAAAAUAUAUAUAUAUUUUUUAAUAUUAAAAAUAUUUUGUUUAUAAUUUGUAUCUGUAAUGUUAGAGCUAAAAUUCAGCAGUCUCCAGUGUCACAUGAUCCUUCAGAAAUCAUUUUAAUAUGCUGAUUUGCUGCUCAAGAAACAGUUUCCUUUUUAUCAGUGUUACAUGUACAUUAUAUAUACAUUAAUAUACAAAAAAUUCUAUACCAGAAAUGGCCAUCCAUAUUUAAAGGGGGGGUGAAAUGCUCGUUUUCACUCAAUAUCCUGUUAAUCUUAAGUACCUAUAGAGUAGUACUUCAUCCUUCAUAACUCCAAAAAGUCUUUAGUUUUAUUAUAUUCAUAAGAGAAAGAUAGUCUGUACCAAUUUUUCCUGGAAAAACACGACCGAUUGGAGGCGUGACGUGUGGGCGGAGCUAAAGAAUCACGAGCGCCAGUAGGCUUUUGCGUUGAGAGCAUGUGGAAGCUGUGACAUUACCGUGAGGGAAAACCCAUCAUCCAAAACAAACCAUGGCUAACAGUCAGAUUCAAUGUAUAUUUAUGAUCCAGAAUCAGAUCCCGAGGCUGAAACUGAACGAGAGCAGCAGCAGCAACGACUCGCUCCGAGCGGGGCUCGAACCCGGGUCUCCGAAAAAAACACACUCCUUUUGUGACAUUUCGCGACGCACUCGCUCUGAUCAGUGAUUGUCUGUGCUCAGCCUCUCAGUGCUCUGCUAUACGGGAGCGCGUGCUCUUCCGGCAGAAGUGCCUCAGGACCCAUAAGGAAAUUCCGCUCCAUUUAACAUCACACAGACCCAUACUCGAAAAAAACUUUCCGAAACUUGUGACAAACCGGAAGGAGUAUUUUUGGAACAGAAAUACUCCUUCAAACAUACAACUUAAUUUUUGAAACUUUGUCCAUGUUUAGCAUGGGAAUCCAACUCUUUAACAGUGUAAAAAACUCAGUAUGCAUUAAAUAGCAUUUCACCCCCCCCCCAUAUAUAUAUAACUACAUGUAUAGUUUUAAAUGUUUAUUUCUAUAUUUUGGUAAAUAUAGCUUUAUUAGUAUCUAUAAAAAUACUAUUUCCAUAUACAGUAUGGCAAGAUUGCCACCUCACCAUCCACAGUGGGCAGCUUAGGGAAGAUGGCGUUUACCAGCUGUCUGUUGUAGUGCUGAUGCUGCAGAAGCCCAUCUCUGCUUACCCCAUCUAUGGUUGAGAACCUCUUCCAUGAGAUGGGACAUGCCAUGCACUCCAUGUUAGACAGGACACGCUAUCAGCAUGUCAGCAUGAGUUAUUUGGUGUUUACACAUGAAUUUACAUGACAAAUAACUGAAUUUAAUGUAUGUAUCAGUACAGCAACCAGGUGCUCCACAGACUUUGCUGAAGUACCUGCUAAUCUGAUGGAGUAAUUUGCCUCAGAUUAUCGAGUUGUGAGCCAGUUUGCAAGGCAUUAAAGUGACAUGACAUUCAGCCAAGUACUCAGAAUUUGUGCUCUGCAUUUAACCCAUCCAAAGUGCACACACACAGCAGUGAACACACACCCAGAGCAGUGGGCAGCCAUUUAUGCUGCAGCAACCAGGGAGCAGUUUUGGGGUUCGGUGACUUGCUCAAGGGCACCUAAGUCAUGGUAUAGCCGGCCCACAACCCUAGGGAUAGGAGUCAAACUCUCUAACCACUAGGCCACAACUUCCCCUUAUCAGACUGGAGAGGUGAGUUUGUGCACGUACCUGCUUCAGACAUUGUCUGUGUAUCUGAAACACCAUUAGAAGACCUGCUUGUUGAUGUAACAGCUGUCUUUUGUUCUCUCUAGCCUCUUCCAGAGAGCCUAGUGUCCUGUUUCCGUUAGUCUAAGAGGGUUUGUAGUGUUCCUGACACUCUGCUACAGAUUUUCUAUUGAGCUCUGGACCAGGUUUAGUAUGGAAUAUUACAAUACAGAUCAACCACAACAUCUUCAAAAAAAAAUACAAAAAUUGACGGGUUACCCACGUUAAUAACAGUGAGUGAUAACAUCACAAAUGCAUUACAGAUUCUGCACAUUUGUCUAAUUUAAUUUUUUACCCAUAAUGUUAAAAAUGAAAGGUUUAUCUUAUAAAUUAUCUGAUGACAUAUGCUUGGCAGCGGAGAUUUAGUCACCUGCUAUAUAUAUUUUUUGUAUUUACAUUUAGUAAAUGUACAAUUUUCCAUUUUAUAAUAACUGUUCACUUUCAAAACGCAAAAUAUCUGUAGUUGUACUGUAUGUCUGGUCCAUUUAAAAAGGAGACGGUGUCAUUUGCAGUGCAUUAUUGCAGAGACAUGCUCGCUCACGGAGGCAGUAAAGAGGCUAUGCUGAUGGUCCAAUGUAAAACCAACACUUAAGAUCUUAUUAACUGUCAAUCUUAAGAGUAAAUAUUGACAGAUUCUUAUUUUUGAUCCUCAGGAAUGCUAAAAAAAAAAAAACUCCACUGUAGACUUUGUUGAUGCAAUAGUUAAAUCUUGAUGCAAAUCCCCAGCUUAGUAAAAUGAAAGAUCCUUAUUUGUUGUGUCUCAUGCACUUGGUAUAACCUCACUCUUUUUAUCAAUAUAACAUUGUUAAAAAAGAACAUUAUUUUGUGUAAUGCAACAUGUGUAUGUGGUUUAAGGUUUAAAAAAAACACAAUAAGGCA